AACGGAUAAGGGGGUUGGAAGCUGAUUCUGAGCUGGGUGAUUGUGAGGAUGCGGUGCCAUCAUUCUCUAAGUAGACUGUAAGCCCCUUUAGGGCAUGGAUUCUACCUGCCUCUGUUCUCCUUGGCCCAGUCCUCACUGCUCAGAGGCACAGAGUAGCCAUGGUGUGGACCCCUGAUGUCCUCAAGAAAUGCAUCUUGACCCAGGGAUGUAAUAUACAACAUGAUGACUAUGGAAUAUCCUGGGAUCUUCUUAUCUGUCAGCAGCCAAGGUGUUUGCAGGAGAUUCAGAGAAAAUAGGUCAGUGUUAGUCUGGGUCCGUUGUGUGGUGGGGCCUCUGAAAGUCUGAGUGUUCCGAAUUGUCUGAAGUCAGAGUCUCUCUUGCCCUUUGACUGUUGGGUGUGGAACGAUGGUAGAAUGGGAUGCUGAUGUUUUCUAGAUGUCUCUGUGCCUUAGCUGUUGACUUUGAAUUGAAAAGCUCCUUAAAUUGGGCUUUGGGGGUCAGGAGAGAGUUACUCCUUCCUCACUGUUUCUGGUUGACGGCUGGCAGUAUUCUUAAUUUCUUUCUUGGCCACCCUGAUUGUCCAGGAGGAAGCCGAGGGAAGCAGCAGAAGCCUGUAACUUCCUGCUUCCUGUCUCCUCCCAGCGGCUUGGGAGCCAGGGCCCUCCCACCAGCCGGCCAGAGAAAACUCUGUAGGAAUCUGGCCAGUCCUACCUGCCUCUGUUCCUCUAUACUGGGGCUGCAGGAAUGCCCCCCACUCCGGCCCCCUGCCAGGACCCUCACCAGGGCCUGGCGGCUCCUCCAGGCCCCUGGGGUUUGGCUGAUAGCUUCUUUGUUCCUGGUACUUGUGCUCCGAGGCCCCUGUGGAGCUGGAGGCAGGCAGAAGCUACUUAGGCAGCCGGCAUGGAUGGUG
ensembl:lncRNA